GGGCUGCAGUCGAGAAUAUUCGUCAAUGCCCGAAAGGGUGAACGAGCGACGCCGCGUGCGGGAUGAAGGCCUUAGGGUUGUAAACCGCUUUUCUGCUUGAAAAAUUUCGUGAUUGUAAAGCAGGAAUAAGAGGUUACUAACUCUGUGCCAGCAGUAGCGGUAAUACAGAGACCUCGAGCGUUAUCCGGAUUUAUUGGGCGUAAAGAGCAUGUAGGCGGGUAUAUUAGUCAGAUGUCAAAUCUUCGAGCUCAACUCGAAAACUGCAUUUGAAACGGUAUAUCUAGAGAAGGCGAGAGACUGAUGGAACAUAUGGUGUAGCAGUAAAAUGCGUUGAUAUCAUAUGGAACACCAAAGGCGAAAGCAUUCAGUUAGCACUUUUCUGACGCUGAGAUGCGAAAGCGUGGGUAGCGAAUGGGAUUAGAUACCCGUGUAGUC
rnacentral:rRNA from 1 species